rnacentral:lncRNA from 9 species
AGGAACUCCACAGGGUCUCCUGCCCACUUUGCAGAUGGGGAAGCGAGCCGGGAGAGGUCAAGUGAGUCACCUGCCGUCACCCAGGUCACUACGGACCCUGAAGUCCAGGCUACAGCCUCCCAUGCAAAUGCUUUUCAAGAAGGCAGGGGUGCCUCCCACUCCAGGACACCCCAAGAAUGCAGACCCGCGCUCUGCAGGCAGGAUGGGGGUGCUGUCCUGCCCAGGGCCCCCAGGGGCACCUGACUCUGUCACCAAGAAUCAAGAUGGCAAACCACAGACAGCUUUCUGCCUGGUUUCUCUGGUGGAACAGGAUCAGAGAAUGAAGGAAAUGCAAUUUACAGGGGCCAUUUGUGACUCUAACAAAGCUGAAAAGUGCAGAGAGAGACGUCCCUUGGUAUCCAGUUGCGUCUGAGCCAUUUGCUUGUCGAUGGGAGCUUAUGUUCUGGAAGACUGUUGGCCAAACGCUUUGGCCAAAAGCCUAUAAGCUUAUAAGCUUAUAACAAAUAUAGCUAAUGAUUUUUUUCCUCUUUGUGAAGAACAAAAAGGAUGAACAAACCGUGACUGUUGUAUGUUGGUAUAUUACGCCACAGUACUAUGUCUUUUUUCAGAAGAUAAAUUAUACGUAUGGCAGUGAGAAAAGAGAUUGCAUAAGUCACCAAAUCCCUGUGCUACAGUAUGUCUAUAAAUGUUUCUUACUGUUUGCGUGUUUCUGCUAAAGAAUAAACAAGGACGUG